UCUUUUUUUACAGAACCUAAAAUGAUUAAACAAGAGCAGAUGCCAAAUGAAGGACAUGUAAAACGUGUCAAAAAACGUUUAGGAUUAGAAGAUGAUCAUCAUGAAGGAGAUGCAGAUGCAGUCCGUCCCACAGAGACUCCACAGGAAAAAGUCCCACUGAUCAACCAAUCAGACUCUGUGGAGGAGAAGAACCCAGAAC